AACGAACGCUGGCGGCGUGCCUAACACAUGCAAGUCGUGCGAGAAAGUUCCUUCGGGAGCGAGUAAAGCGGCGCACGGGUGAGUAACACGUAGGUAACCUGCCCCCCAGUCUGGAACAACUAGAGGAAACUCUAGCUAAUGCCGGAUGAGACCACGAUCCCUUCGGGGGUUGCGGCCAAAGAUGGCCUCUACUUGUAAGCUAUCGCUGAGGGAUGGGCCUGCGGGCCAUUAGCUUGUUGGUGAGGUAACGGCUCACCAAGGCUGUGAUGGCUAGCUGGUCUGAGAGGAUGACCAGCCACACUGGGACUGAGACACGGCCCCAGACUCCUACGGGAGGCAGCAGUGGGGAAUAUUGCGCAAUGGGCGAAAGCCUGACGCAGCGACGCCGCGUGGGUGAUGAAGGCCUCGGUCGGU
rnacentral:rRNA from 1 species